UACGGCCACAUCAUGUUGAAACACCGGUUUCCGUAUGAUCAGCUAAGUUAAGCAACGUUGAUCCCGGUCAGUACCUACAUGAGUUACGGCUGGGAAUACCAGGUGCAGUAAG